rnacentral:rRNA from 1 species
AUUGAACGCUGGCGGCAGGCCUAACACAUGCAAGUCGAACGAGUGGCGGACGGGUGAGUAAUGUCUGGGAAACUGCCCGAUGGAUGGGGAUAACUACGGGAAGCUAUAGCUAAUACCGCGUAGCAUAGGAUGAGCCCAAGUGGGUUUAGGUAGUUGGUGAGGCAAAGGCACACCAAGCCGACGAUCUCUAGCUGGGCUGAGAGGAGGACCAGCCACACUGGGACUGAGCCACGGCCCAGACUCCUACGGGAGGCAGCAGUGGGGAAUAUUGCGCAAUGGGGGCAACCUGACGCAGCCAUGCCGCGUGAAUGAAGAAGGCCUUCGGGUUGUAAAGUUCUUUCGGUAGCGAGGCGUUAACUACAGAAGAAGCACCGGCUAACUCCGUGCCAGCAGCCGCGGUAAUAC